rnacentral:rRNA from 1 species
CCUACGGGUGGCAGCAGUGAGGAAUAUUGGUCAAUGAGCGCGAGCCUGAACCAGCCACGUAGCGUGAAGGAUGACUGCCCUCCGGGUUGUAAACUUCUUUUAUAGAGGAGUAAAGUGAGACAAGUAUGCCUUUUUGUAUGUACUUUAUGAAUACGGAUCGGCUAACACAGUGACAGCCGACGCGGUAAUACGGUGGAUCCGAGCGUUACCCGGAAUUAUUGGGUUUAAAGGGAGCGUAGGUGGGUUGUUAAGUCAGUUGUGAAAGUUUGCGGCUCAACCGUACAAUUGCACUUGAUACUGGCAGCCUUGAGUACAGUAGAGGUAGGCGGAAUUCGUGGUGUAGCGGUGAAAUGCUUAGAUAUCACGAAGAACUCCGAUUGCGAAGGCAGCCUACUAAACUGCCACUGACAUUGAUGCUCGAAAGUGUGGGUAGCAAACAGGAUUAGAUACCCUUGUAGUC